rnacentral:tRNA from 1 species
UCCCUGGUGGCUCAGAGGGUAAAGCAUCUGCCUGCAAUGUAGGAUACCUGGGUUUGAUCCCUGGGUUGGGAA